AAGGAUUGCCUUAGUAACGGCGAAGUGAAGCGGCAAAGCUCAAAUUUGAAAUCUAGCACUUUCAGUGUUCGAGUUGUAAUUUGAAGAAGGUAACUUUGGAAUUGGCUCUUGUCUAUGUUCCUUGGAACAGGACGUCACAGAGGGUGAGAAUCCCGUGCGAUGAGAUGUCCAAUUCUAUGUAAAGUGCUUUCGAAGAGUCGAGUUGUUUGGGAAUGCAGCUCUAAGUGGGUGGUAAAUUCCAUCUAAAGCUAAAUAUUGGCGAGAGACCGAUAGCGAACAAGUACAGUGAUGGAAAGAUGAAAAGAACUUUGAAAAGAGAGUGAAAAAGUACGUGAAAUUGUUGAAAGGGAAGGGCUUGAGAUCAGACUUGGUAUUUUGUGUUCCUUAUUCUUUUUGGAUUUGGUUCCUCACAGCUUACCGGGCCAGCAUCGGUUUGGAUGGUAGGAUAAUGACAUUGGAAUGUAGCUUUGCUUCGGUGAAGUGUUAUAGACUUUGUUGAUACUGCCUAUCUAGACCGAGGACUGCGUCUUUGACUAGGAUGCUGGCGUAAUGAUCUUAAGCCGCCCGUCUUGAAACACGGACCAACAA
rnacentral:rRNA from 1 species